AGCGGGUUGGUGGAGUGGUCUAUCACGUGUGACUUAAGAUACCAUAAUCAUAACGCGAUUUUCGGAUCGCUUUAUCUUUGCAAAGGUUUCACAUCUCGCAAGAGGCGCGGGUUCGAACCCCGCACCCGCUA
rnacentral:tRNA from 1 species